GACGAACGCUGGCGGCGUGCUUAACACAUGCAAGUCGAACGGAAAGGCCCUGCUUUUGUGGGGUGCUCGAGUGGCGAACGGGUGAGUAACACGUGAGUAACCUGCCCUUGACUUUGGGAUAACUUCAGGAAACUGGGGCUAAUACCGGAUAGGAGCUCCUGCUGCAUGGUGGGGGUUGGAAAGUUUCGGCGGUUGGGGAUGGACUCGCGGCUUAUCAGCUUGUUUGUGGGGUAGUGGCUUACCAAGGCUUUGACGGGUAGCCGGCCUGAGAGGGUGACCGGCCACAUGGGGACUGAGAUACGGCCCAGACUCCAACGGGAGGCAGCAGUGGGGAAUAUUGCACAAUGGGCGGAAGCCUGAUGCAGCAACGCCGCGUGCGGGAUGACGGCCUUCGGGUUGUAAACCGCUUUCGCCUGUGACGAAGAGUGAGUGACGGUAAUGGGUAAAGAAGCACCGGCUAACUACGUG
rnacentral:rRNA from 1 species